UACGUAGGGGGCGAGCGUUAUCCGGAUUCAUUGGGCGUAAAGCGCGCGUAGGCGGCCGCCUAAGCGGAACCUCUAACCCCGGGGCUCAACCUCGGGCCGGGUUCCGGACUGGGCGGCUCGAGUGCGGUAGAGGAGAGCGGAAUUCCCGGUGUAGCGGUGGAAUGCGCAGAUAUCGGGAAGAACACCGAUGGCGAAGGCAGCUCUCUGGGCCGUCACUGACGCUGAGGCGCGAGAGCUGGGGGAGCGAACAGG
rnacentral:rRNA from 1 species